rnacentral:rRNA from 1 species
UACGUAGGGGGCAAGCGUUGUCCGGAUUUAUUGGGCGUAAAGAGCGUGUAGGCGGCCGCACAGGUCCGUUGUCGAAAACUGGAGGCUUAACCUUCAGACGUCGAUGGAAACCGUGCGGCUAGAGUCCGGAAGAGGAGAGUGGAAUUCCUGGUGUAGCGGUGAAAUGCGCAGAUAUCAGGAAGAACACCUAUGGCGAAGGCAGCUCUCUGGGACGGUACUGACGCUGAGGAGCGAAAGCGUGGGGAGCAAACAGG